CUAUAUUUAUAAGUCUAUGAUGACUCAUAUCAAUAAAUCAACCACAAUUCUCAAUUAGUCACCCAAUUGUCUAAAAGAAACACAACAGUUAAUCAAUUGUCAUAAAUUGCUUUCUAAUUUUGUCGGAGACACAGGCAAUUUACUUUUUUCUAUUGCAAGUGACUAGUUUUUCAAUAGGAUUUAUAUCAUUUAUUAAGCAGUCAGUGUGAAUCAUACCAUAGAAAUCCAUUUAUGAAAUCUAGCUGACAUCAAUCAAUUUUAUAAGUGUUUAUAAUUCGCAAAUUUUUUUUAGUCUGUUGGUGCAAGUAUUAUUAUCCAAAUCAACGUUGCAUCUAUAAACAAUUUUAUAUAAAAAAAAGUCGACGAUUGCUGACUGAAGAAUAAAAUAUAGUACAUUUUAUAACUUUUUUUUCUGAGCUUAAAGUAUUUUUCAAUUUGUCACAACGGGGGCCGAACAAUCAGCAAUGUCUGUCUCACAAAUGGAGAAAAAUUUAUUUAAUCUGAAAUUUGCUGUGAAAGAACUAGAACGCAAUUCUAAAAAAUGCGAAAAAGAAGAAAAAGUAGAAAAAUCUAAAGUUAAGAAAGCUAUUCAGAAGGGAAAUAUGGAAGGGGCUCGGAUACAUGCCGAAAAUGCAAUACGGCAGAAAAAUCAAGCUUUAAAUUAUUUACGAAUGAGUGCAAGGGUGGACGCUGUUGCUAGUAGAGUGCAAACAGCUUUGACAACACGAAAAGUAACACAGUCAAUGGCCGGUGUAGUAAAAGCUAUGGAUGCUGCAAUGAAAUCGAUGAAUUUAGAAAAAAUUUCUGGCUUAAUGGACAAGUUCGAAAGUCAAUUUGAAGAUUUAGAUGUUCAAAGUUCUUAUAUGGAAAACGCAAUGUCACAAACUACUACAACAAACGUACCACAGAAUGAUGUUGAUUCAUUACUUCAACAGGUUGCAGACGAAGCUGGCGACCGCAGAUCCAUACCUUGGGCCUUUUUCUACUUCAUAUGCAAUUUCUUGCGAAGUUCUUUCUGCUACCCGAACUGUUCUGCCUUCUUUUGAAGCAGCAUAAGCUCCCAGCUUAAGCAAUCAAUUUGAACUUCGUUACGUCUGACAGCAAAUGUAUGAGCUUCAAUACCAACGGUGAUGCCCAUUGGAAUUGAAUCUGGAGUUGCCAUCCGGACAAGUGGGCAGUAUCGGUACAUCAACUGCAGUGAGUCAAGAACAGGAUGAAUUAACACAAAGACUUGCACGAUUGAGAGAAUAAAAUAAUAAUGUUCAAACUA